CCUACGGGAGGCAGCAGUAAGAAAUAUUGGUCAAUGGAGGCAACUCUGAACCAGCCAUGCCGCGUGCAGGAAGACGGCCCUAUGGGUUGUAAACUGCUUUUGAACUAGAGAAAACCUUGGUACGUGUACCGAGUUGAUAGUAUAGUUAGAAUAAGCAUCGGCUAACUUCGUGCCAGCAGCCGCGGUAAGACGAAGGAUGCAAGCGUUAUCCGGAUUCAUUGGGUUUAAAGGGUGCGUAGGCGGACUGAUAAGUCAGUGGUGAAAUCUCUCAGCUUAACUGAGAAACUGCCAUUGAUACUGUUAGUCUAGAGUACAGAUGAUGUGGGCGGAAUAUGACAUGUAGUGGUGAAAUACUUAGAUAUGUCAUAGAACACCGAUUGCGAAGGCAGCUCACAAAACUGUAACUGACGCUGAGGCACGAAAGUGCGGGGAUCAAACAGGAUUAGAUACCCUGGUAGUCCGCACCGUAAACGAUGAUUACUCGUUGUUGGCGAUAUGACCAGUCGAGCGACCGAACGACGAACGAACGUAGUAAGUUAAGUUACCGUACCGUUACGGGUUAGGUACGGCCGGCCGACCGGUACGGAACGACGAAGUUAGAGUUAGACGGCGUUGAGGACGUUGCCGACGGACGGACGACGAGGGAGGUAGG
rnacentral:rRNA from 1 species